UGGGGAAUAUUGGACAAUGGGGGGAACCCUGAUCCAGCCAUGCCGCGUGUGUGAAGAAGGCCUUAUGGUUGUAAAGCACUUUAAGCGAGGAGGAGGGUACUGGUAUUAAUACUACCAGCUACUGGACGUUACUCGCAGAAUAAGCACCGGCUAACUCUGUGCCAGCAGCCGCGGUAAUACAGAGGGUGCGAGCGUUAAUCGGAUUUACUGGGCGUAAAGCGUGCGUAGGCGGCUAAUUGAGUCGGAUGUGAAAUCCCCGAGCUUAACUUGGGAAUUACAUUCGAUACUGGUUAGCUAGAGUGUGGGAGAGGAUGGUAGAAUUCCAGGUGUAGCGGUGAAAUGCGUAGAGAUCUGGAGGAAUACCGAUGGCGAAGGCAGCCAUCUGGCCUAACACUGACGCUGAGGUACGAAAGCAUGGGGAGCAAACAGG
rnacentral:rRNA from 1 species